rnacentral:rRNA from 1 species
CUAGAGANAGGACUUUNCCUUCNGGGACNAAGUGACAGGUGGUGCAUGGUUGUCGUCAGCUCGUGUCGUGAGAUGUUGGGUUAAGUCCCGCAACGAGCGCAACCCCUAUUGUUAGUUGCCAGCAUUCAGUUGGGCACUCUAAUGAGACUGCCGGUGACAAACCGGAGGAAGGUGGGGAUGACGUCAAAUCAUCAUGCCCCUUAUGACCUGGGCUACACACGUGCUACAAUGGAUGGUACAACGAGCAGCAAGACCGCGAGGUCRAGCGAAUCUCUUAAAGCCAUUCUCARUUCGGAUUGCAGGCUGCAACUCGCCUGCAUKWAGCCGGAAUCGCUAGUAAUCGCGGAUCARCACGCCGCGGUGAAUACGUUCYCGGGUCUUGUACACAC